rnacentral:rRNA from 1 species
UACGUAGGGUGCAAGCGUUAAUCGGAAUUACUGGGCGUAAAGCGUGCGCAGGCGGCUUUGCAAGACAGAUGUGAAAUCCCCGGGCUUAACCUGGGAACUGCAUUUGUGACUGCAUAGCUAGAGUGCGGCAGAGGGAGAUGGAAUUCCGCGUGUAGCAGUGAAAUGCGUAGAUAUGCGGAGGAACACCGAUGGCGAAGGCAAUCUCCUGGGCCUGCACUGACGCUCAUGCACGAAAGCGUGGGGAGCAAACAGG